UACGUAGGGUGCAAGCGUUGUCCGGAAUUAUUGGGCGUAAAGAGCUCGUAGGUGGUUUGUCGCGUUUGUCCGUGAAAACUCACAGCUUAACUGUGGGCGUGCGGGCGAUACGGGCAGACUGGAGUACUGCAGGGGAGACUGGAAUUCCUGGUGUAGCGGUGAAAUGCGCAGAUAUCAGGAGGAACACCGGUGGCGAAGGCGGGUCUCUGGGCCGAUACUGACGCUGAGGAGCGAAAGCGUGGGGAGCGAACAGG
rnacentral:rRNA from 1 species